GUCUACGGCCAUACCACCCUGAACACGCCCUAUCUUGUCUCAUCUCGGAAGCUAAGCCCGGUCAGGCCUGGUUACUACUUAGAUGGGAGAAAUAAAUUGGUUAAGGGUCCUAACAGGAAUUUGACCCUGAGGAAG
rnacentral:rRNA from 1 species